CCUGAAUGAAUGCUGUGGUUACAGCACACGACAGAGCUUCUGGGUAAACUGCAGCAAAAUGAUAGAGAAAGGACCAGCCAUUGCACUCACCAGGUAGGAGGCAGGACCUGUAGGGAUUCAGCAGUCCUGCUCUUCCUCUGCUGAGCAGACUUCUCCAUGGCCUCGCUGAGAGAUUUGGCAUAAUGGAUGAUGGCUUUAAGCUGAGAGUCCGUCAGCACCCACAACAGGUCAUCCAGAAUGAAAAGCAGCUUGGAUGCCAGCACGUUACAGUCCUUUAUCUAGAACAGAACAAUGAAGAAUUAAACUUGACUUUGCAAUUUA